rnacentral:lncRNA from 10 species
AUAUGUAAACAAAUGUAGAGUGACAGAAAGCAGAUCAGUGGUUUCCUAAAGACGGGUAGGUGGAUAAGGAGGAAGAGAUUACAAAGAGCCCAAGAAAACCUUUAAUUUCAUGGCUAUAAACAUGUACCAAAACUUGUACCUGUGAAAUAUGUGUAGUUUAGACUUCAAUAAAGCUGUUUUUCUAAAAAGAAAAAAAAAUACUUAAAAAAAUCCUCAUUUCCUAAUUAUUUUACUAUUAUCUAUGCUUUAGAGGUUAUUUACGUUUAUUGCAU